rnacentral:rRNA from 1 species
CAGUAGCCGCGGGAAUACGUAGGUGGCAAGCGUUGUCCGGAAUUAUUGGGCGUAAAGGGCUCGCAAGCGGUUUCUUAAGUCUGAUGUGAAAGCCCCCGGCUCAACCGGGGAGGGUCAUUGGAAACUGGGAAACUUGAGUGCAGAAGAGGAGAGUGGAAUUCCACGUGUAGCGGUGAAAUGCGUAGAGAUGUGGAGGAACACCAGUGGCGAAGGCGACUCUCUGGUCUGUAACUGACGCUGAGGAGCGAAAGCGUGGGGAGCGAACAGGAUUAGAUACCCCUGUAGUCCCUGUCUCUUAUAC